CCUGGUCUAGUCUAGAGACCACAUGGACAGAAGGACUGGGGAGCUUAGGGAUCUGAGCCGUUGGCCAUGGUCAGCACGGCAAGGACACAGUGAUCAAGUCUGGUAUUGAAACAGGUGCAAGAAUACGAGAACAUAUCCUGUAUAUUACAACAAGAAGAGAGAAAAGUCACACUUACAAAAGCCUUGACUGUUCAUAUUCCUAUGAGGAAACAGAGGAGAUAUCUCGGAGGAGUUAACAAGCUAUGAUCAAUGUUA